rnacentral:misc_RNA from 1 species
GAACGCACAUUGCGCCCCUUGGUAUUCCGAGGGGCAUGCCUAUUCGAGCGUCAUUAUCACCCCUCAAGCCUAGCUUGGUGUUGAGGCCUGCUGUCAAGGCAGCCUCUAAAAUCAGUGGCAGUGCUGUCAGGCUCUAAGCGUAGUAAAUCUAAUCGCUAUAGACACCUGGUGGACACUCGCCAGAACCCCCCCAUUUUUUAAUGAUUGACCUCGGAUUAGGUAGGGAUACCCGCUGAACUUAAG